GAUGGACGCUGGCGGCGUGCCUAAUACAUGCAAGUCGAGCGAACAGACGAGGAGCUUGCUCCUCUGACGUUAGCGGCGGACGGGUGAGUAACACGUGGAUAACCUACCUAUAAGACUGGGAUAACGUCGGGAAACCGGAGCUAAUACCGGAUAAUAUAUUGAACCGCAUGGUUCAAUAGUGAAAGACGGUUUUGCUGUCACUUAUAGAUGGAUCCGCGCCGCAUUAGCUAGUUGGUAAGGUAACGGCUUACCAAGGCGACGAUGCGUAGCCGACCUGAGAGGGUGAUCGGCCACACUGGACCUGAGACACGGUCCAGACUCCUACGGGAGGCAGCAGUAGGGAAUCUUCCGCAAUGGGCGAAAGCCUGACGGAGCAACGCCGCGUGAGUGAUGAAGGUCUUCGGAUCGUAAAACUCUGUUAUUAGGGAAGAACAAAUGUGUAAGUAACUAUGCACGUCUUGACGGUACCUAAUCAGAAAGCCACGGCUAACUACGUG
rnacentral:rRNA from 1 species